CAAUUAUUGGUGCAGACAAGGCCGCGAUCUUGCCCUCCGGGAGGCGGAGAUGAAUCGCCAGCGAGCGAAGGCAAGGGACGAUCCUUCGGCUAAGGCUACGAUCGCGACGACCGAAGAGACUGGGAAGGUCCUCCCUUCGGACACUGCGCAGGUAGCCGAAGAGGCUGUUCCCGUUACUAUGAUGAGGGACAAUUUUUUUGUGUCUUGGUCUUGCUGGGACUCCUUUCACCGCCGCCAUCCAGAUAUUGAAUUUGAGCGGUAUUAGGAGGCGAAGUGUAGGGCAUAAGAUGCGAUGAAUAAUAGGACCAAAGACUUUUGGAAAUCUUUUAGCCCUUCGGCUUUGGUUACCCGCAGAGCUGAGCGCAACUUGUGUCGAAUUGCGCGCGGAGACGUCGAACCUUCACCUAUGCUCAUUGAACAGAAGGUUGAGCCAGAAGACGACGACGGACUCCCGCCUCGCCAGGCUCAACUUUGCUACCGUCGUGGGCCCUCUUCGCAGCUGGUGCAACACACUGAAGGUGAGGGCGCCCUUCAUGCAUCUCCCUCGGCUUCGUCUUAUGUUGGGUCCCAACUAUGCCUUUUCAUGCUAGUCAAGGCAUAGCCUAUCAAUUUGAUUUUAGUCGGUGGUAUAAGGAUUUUGUUGAUCCUGAUAUUGAUAGCUUUGCGGAAUAAAAGGUGUUUUUUACAGUUAA